rnacentral:lncRNA from 1 species
AGGCCAAUUUGCAUAAAAAAUCCACUUAUUUUGGGGUUUUGCAAAACCGGGCCACCUUUUUCCUUUUUGCAGAUUCGGUCCGCUUUUUCCGCCGCCUGACCAAAAUGCCCCUCCUAUACAAUAGCCUCCCGCGUAUUUCUUGACAUACGUAUACUACCCUGCCGUACGUUCUGGCGCGCAUUAAAUGACCCGUUCAAUCUCAGUCAUUUCUCGGAACCCGGACAACAUCCGCCCCCGCUAUUCGCCGACCCCGCUGUUUCCUGUUUGGCUUUAAUUCUUUAAUACAAUAACUCACGAUAAAUGAGAAAAUAUGCACGGCCCGAGCAGAGAUAAUAGUGCAACGCAAAGUGAAACGCCCGAAAAAAUGGUGCAACUGCCAUUAUAACAGUGCAUCGCUAGGUCGCACCAGUGCAACCUCUCCAAAAUCAGUCAAAAUUUUACUUUCUCUAUUCCUUAAUAUAAUCUCAACUUAGUACUGCAAAUUAACGGCUACCCCUCCAAAUGAAGCCGAAGCGUCGGCGGCGCAGGACGGUGGCUGCGGGGUUCGAAGGUCGGCGAUGUGCGACAUAAGAGUCGGCAGGCCAGGAAGCUCGGCGGCGGGGCUGGAAGGUCGCCGGCGCAGGACGCUUUUCGAGAGGCGUGACAUAGCGGCUAAACGAUUGUGCAAACUGUUCUUACGAAAGAUCAGCGUUCUUAUAACGCAUGAAUAGGUUCACAGAUGAACGCCAAUAAUAGUGCAAGACAGAGUGAAUAACAGAACAAUAUUUUUAAAAGAGUGCAAAGAUGCUUGUAAGAGUGCAAUAAGGUAUAAAUAAUAGUGCAAUCGAUUUAAAAACAUGUGCAACGAAAGUGCAAUAAGGUAGUAAACCAGUGCAAUAUUUUGAAAAGACUCGUACUAAGCUUAUAAGGGUUCGUUGGAGAGGUUGAUACAAGGUAUAAUAAUAGUGCAACGCCAGGUCGGUGAAAUAAAAAUUUAAUUUAAAAAAGGUUUUAAGUAUUGUAACACAGAUCAAAAGAGUUUAAGAAUCUCUGCUAAAGCGUGUAACAGAUGAUACCUAGUACGAAAUUUUCAAAGAUUUGGCGUUAACAUGAACAAAAUAGUGCAAAAAGGUCGAAAUUUAUAUUAUUCUAUGAUGUAAACAGUGCAACAUUUUAUGAAAAAUAUUGUAACUGGUAAAUAGUGCAACAAAUUCCUAAGCAGUACAUUAAUUUGUGAACAAGAAUUAUAUUUUCUUCUUUAAAUCCGAGUACACGAUUUUAUACAAGUUUACACAAUACAAAAAGGAUUUGCCUACAAUGAAAAAUUCUAUUACUUCAGCAAUAACAAAUUGAACAUAAUAAAAAUUAUGUUACAGAAAUAUCUAAUCAUCGAAGCUUGUCUGCAAUUCCACGCGCACAUAGCCUAAGAUAACAUGUAUAGGCCAGGGGAGACUUCCGCAGGAGACUGCGAGGAGGAGAUUGCAAGUAGAAGACUGCGAGGAGAAGACUGCGAGGAGGAGACUGCGAGGAGGAGACUGCGAGAAGGAGACUGCCGAAGGAGACUGCGAGUAGGAGGAGGGUCGUUCGGAAGUGUAGAUCCAGCAACGAGGCCUUAAGAUUGAUUUGCACUAUCUGGAGUGCUUUAUUUGCCUCAAGCCCUUUGGAGCUCCGCUCUACCAUGAAACAGACAGUUCAAUCAGCAUAACAUAAGAAUCCAUCAAUAACAAUAAAGAUCUGUAAGAAUUUAAGAACCUGUAUGAGAGGAGAGCCAAU